CCAAGGAGAGGCGCAAUGAAAGUAAGGGCCGGGCGCCCCUCCCCCGGGGGGGGCGUCGCCGGCGGGGAAGACGGCGGCCGCGACCGCGGCCGCCCGCACUCCCGGGGCGUCUCGAGGCCCCCGUCCCGCACGCGGGGCGAGGCGCACCCCGAGCGCACACGUCGGGACCCGAAAGAUGGUGAACUAUGCCUGGCCAGGACGAAGUCAGGGGAAACCCUGAUGGAGGUCCGUAGCGAUUCUGACGUGCAAAUCGAUCGUCGGAGCUGGGUAUAGGGGCGAAAGACUAAUCGAACCAUCUAGUAGCUGGUUCCCUCCGAAGUUUCCCUCAGGAUAGCUGGCCUUCGGAGCGAGCGGUGAGAGAACGAGUCUCAUCCGGUAGAGCGAAUGAUUAGAGGCCUUGGGGCCGAAACGACCUCAACCUAUUCUCAAACUUCAAAUGGGUGAGACCUCCGGCCUGCCUGGACUGUUGGAUGACGAGGCCGGAGGUCGGAUCGGAAGUGCCAAGUGGGCCAUUUUUGGU
rnacentral:rRNA from 1 species